CCGCCGAGAUCACAUACGACGUCCUCGAGCGGCUGCGCUGCGGAGAUUACAGAUCAAGAAGACGAGCAGGAGGAUCAGAUCCAGUCAGUUUGACCAGAUGGAGCGAUGGCCUGGGGGAAGGCCAUGGUCGAUGACCGCAUCGCGUGCCGGCACGGGUGUCACAUCCCCGGCUGCCUCUUUAUCCAUUGACCAUCUCACAGUUGUCCUUCUCCCAAGUCUGCAGCCGUUCUCUCCUCAAGCUACGUGAGCCAACUGCAACAAGGGCUUGAGAUGCUGUGCCGACAGGCUUGGGUGAUCGGAACAUGUUGGUGUCUGCGCAAAUAUGUACACGCUCUGCUUUGUUUAUUCCGAGUAGCCGAUCUGCUUCUCAGGCUUGUAGUACUAGGUUGCAGUGCAGGUAAGCAAUACAGAAAGUGUUAGUAUUCAAAAUAAGCAAUAGAUUAGUUGAGCAGUUCUAGAUGAACUGGAAUUACUAGAGCUUACCCUGAAAUUACGAGAUAAACUGGACAACAAGCAAGAGAUUAAUUAAAGAGUAUCUGCACUGAAUUCAAACAAUACAAAGAGAAAAGCAAUAGUCGUCAUGGGUUGUAGCCUUGUAGGCUACUACAAAAACCUACUUCCUCUGUCCAAAAAAAGCUUGUCUUAGAUUUGUCUAAAUACAGAUGUAUCUAGACACAUUUUUGUGAUAUAUACAUCCGUAUCUAGAUAAAUCUAAGAUAAGCUUUUUGGGAUGGAGGUAAUAUAUAUUCACUGCAGCAGGCAAUCUAUAAAUUGAGUUGUUUUCCCCUAUUGUUUAAUCACCUCAUUAUUUUUGAUCUGUCAAAUUUGUUACUCCCUCAGUUCUUAAAUAUAAAACCUUUUAGAUAUUUCAAUAAUAACUACAUACGGAUGUAUAUAGACAUAUUUUAGAGUGUAGAUUCACUCAUUUCACUCCGUAUGUAGUUCAUAUUGAAAUCUCUAAAAGGUCUUAUAUUUAGGAACGAGGGAGUAUACAAUAUAAACAAUCCUUUUAGUCAAUUUCUUGCCAUUCUAUUGCUAACUUUCUUGCUUGAGUGUUAUCUCAUCAGGACACAGAAGUUGAAAUGCAUAAAUUUGAUCUGAAGUGGCAUGAUCCCAGUCAAGACUUACUAUGCAUGUUCGAUGUUUUCUCCAUUAUAGUAGUAGAGUAAGCCACCAGGAGAGGCUACGAACCGGAGUGUGGGAGAUCGCCGUUGUUGCUUGGACAGCCUGCCACCACGCUCAAGAUCACUCAGUACAUACAGACAUUACCUGAUCAUAUAGACGAAUGAGAGAUUUUCGUACCUUAUUUCUGUUCACUAUGAGUUCCCUUAUUUUGCUCGUUUGCAAGAAUAUUGGAGUCAGAUAAGGAAUGAUGGUAUGUUGUGAUUAUACGUAGUAUGUUGUGAUCGUGAUCUUCAGUUUUAUG